GUCUGUCUGCAGAUUCUGAGCAUCUGGAGUGGACCUCUGAACCUCUUAGCAUUUGCUGCUGCCCUCACCCUUUGAAGAAAUGUCUGUCACUUACGACGAUUCCGUUGGAGUAGAAGUGAGCAGUGACAGCUUCUGGGAGGUCGGGAACUACAAGCGAACAGUGAAGAGGAUCGACGAUGGCCACCGCCUGUGCACUGACCUCAUGAACUGCCUACAUGAGCGUGCGCGCAUCGAGAAGGCAUAUGCACAGCAGCUCACAGAGUGGGCCCGACGCUGGAGGCAGCUUGUUGAGAAGGGACCACAGUACGGGACGGUGGAGAAGGCCUGGGUAUCCUUCAUGUCUGAGGCAGAGAGGGUCAGUGAGCUGCACCUGGACGUAAAGGCUUCACUUAUGAAUGAGGACUUUGAGAAGAUUAAGAACUGGCAGAAGGAAGCCUUUCACAAGCAGAUGAUGGGAGGCUUCAAGGAGACCAAGGAAGCAGAGGACAGCUUCCGCAAAGCCCAGAAGCCCUGGGCCAAGAAGCUGAAAGAGGUAGAAGCAGCGAAAAAAGCCUACCAUGCAGCCUGCAAAGAAGAGAAGUUGGCCAUCUCCCGAGAAGCCAACAGCAAGUCAGAUCCCUCACUCAACCCAGAACAGCUCAAGAAAUUACAAGACAAAAUAGAAAAAUGCAAGCAAGAUGUUCUGAAGACCAAGGACAAGUAUGAGAAAGCCCUGAAGGAACUGGACCAGAGCACCCCCCAGUACAUGGAGAACAUGGAGCAGGUAUUUGAGCAGUGCCAGCAGUUUGAGGAAAAGCGACUGCGCUUCUUCCGGGAGGUUCUGCUAGAGGUUCAGAAGCACCUGGACCUGUCAAAUGUAGCCAGCUACAAAACCAUUUACCGCGACUUGGAACAGAACAUCAAAGCGGCUGAUGCAGUGGAGGACCUGAGGUGGUUCCGAGCCAAUCACGGGCCAGGCAUGGCCAUGAACUGGCCACAGUUUGAGGAUGAAGAGUGGUCUGCAGACCUGAAUCGAACUCUCAGCCGGAGGGAGAAAAAGAAGGCUGCUGACGGUGUGACCUUGACAGGCAUCAGCCAGACAGCUGACCAGGCUGUGCCGAACAAGGCUGGCAGUGUGAGCAGCUAUGAGAAGACCCAGAGCUACCCUGCUGACUGGUCUGAUGAUGAGUGCAACAACCCUUUUUCCUCCACGGAUGCCAACGGUGAUUCCAACCCAUUUGAUGAGGAUACUGCCUCGGGAACAGAAGUGCGAGUCCGGGCCCUGUAUGACUAUGAGGGGCAGGAGCAUGAUGAGCUGAGCUUCAAGGCUGGUGAUGAGCUGACCAAGAUAGAGGAUGAGGAUGAGCAGGGCUGGUGCAAGGGACGCUUGGACAGUGGGCAGGUUGGCUUGUACCCCGCCAACUAUGUGGAGGCCAUCCAGUGACAGGCCAGGGGCAGGCUGGCGGAGAGAGGAAGAGGCCAGCUCUGGAGCUCCCUCAGCCUCGGCCCAGGCAGCGGUGGUCUCUGCAGCCUUUGGGGCAUCCACUCUUACCUGCACAAGAUGCCAGCUCCCUUGCGGUUGCUUCCAGAUGUGCUUGGAAGGCAGAGGAGCUAGUCCUCCCAGCAGGACUCAGCCCUUUCCAAGUGCAUCUGGGAGCUCUGCACAGGAAGACAGCGGGAGAAGAGCUGGCCCUCCCGACCCCCAGUUCUGUGCUGUGCGGGUCUGGAUGUUCUCGGCUCAUUCUUCUUCCACUGAUUGUUGUCUCUCACCAGUCUCAUCCCUGCUAGUUAAGUAAACAAACAUAUACCAUUUUCUGAGUGAAGAUUUUGAAGAUUUUAAUUUAAAGGCUAUGUACAGUUAUACAUUUUUACACACCUGCUCUGCCAUCCUCUGCAUAUAAGUUAUGGCACAGGUUGCUCUGACCUGGCUCCAGGAUGUGUUAGCUCUGUCUCCACCAUUGCUGCUCAUCAGCCUGGCCGCUGCCACAGGUCCUGUGGACAGGUGACGCCCGAGGCAAGAGGCCAUGCAGAAUGUGGGGCGCACCACAAAGGGGUUUCAAUGAUGAAUGUGGCCUGCGGAGGAAACCUCACACAGGACUCCCCAAAGUCGCCAUCUGUCCAAAUGAGUUGGACUCUAUUCCUGCUUAAAACUCAACUGUCUUGCAGAUUCACUAUUUUAUCAGUGAUUUGAAAGGUUAAAUAAGUCUAACUUUUCGAGCAGAUGCUUCUAUGGCUUAAGAUGCUCUAUAUCAGGCUGUAUAUAUUAUUUGCUAUUCAGAGAAUCUAAACAGAUUUAAGGUCUCUAACUGUGGAGAUCUGUUAAAAGGCCAUCUUUGAGGUCAUCACAGGCUUUGCUAUCACCAGUGUUCCUCAUGAGUAAACAGAGACUGGUUGUGGAUUGCAUCACAGUCCCACCGAGUGCCUUCAGUCCUCGGUGCAACGGGGCGACCUGAAGAACCUACAGUGGGAAGGGCCUUUACUUUUGCUGGGACAGUAGUGGGACAGCAUAGGACACCACUGUCGUGAGCUGCACUGCUUUCUACUGAGUGUCCACAGGAAGCUCCACUCUUCCUUGAAAGUGCAUGAGUCAGGGACUAUCAUGAAAAUUCCCAGCAGAAGUCCCCGUUUCUGUGCUACAGAUGUACCAACAGCUGUCUUACCUUUUAAGUUUAGUAUCUCCUUUAAGUGUAUUGCAUCUUUGAACAAAAUCAAUAAAUAGUCGAUCUCAGGUGUGCAAAAGGCCCUCGCUGUGUGUCCGCCCUCACACUUGCAGCAGUGCUACGAUGCGUCAUCAUUCCUAGAGUCUCCGGCCCUUGGACCUGAGCAAGAGGGAAGUUGUGGGCCCUGAGCCCGUUUGACCUGGUCUCCCCCGUGGGGUGGGGCUCCCUACCCCCUAUAGCAGCAGAAUAGGACCUGCGACCCCUUGAGCCCGUAGCUCUCCCUGGAACGUUUCCCUGAGAACCUACUGGGUGCUGGGCCUUAAGCUCUGCUCUAUUUCUGUUACCUGCAGAGCACUCAUCUCCAGACAUCCCUGUAGCAGGCCUAGUCUUCCCUCUUCUGUUUUACAGAGGGGGAGCCACGCCCCUCUGUAAAGCCAUGUAAAAGCCAUGUCUGCCUAAGGAUCCCAGCUAUUGAGAGACACCCAGCCUAAUCUUGGAGGAUUCGGCAGCCCUGGGUGGUCUAAAGAGGGGAGGGUCAGGUGAGGGCUGCCAUGGCCACACCCACCAGGCCCAUUAGGCCCCCUUGAAGAGCUGGCGGGAGAGAGGUGCACAGCUGCCCCUGCUGCAUCUCUGCCCAUACUCAGCCAGGGCAGAGGAAGCAUCUUGGCCGUACAGCCUCCUCGUCGCAGGGGUGCCAGGUCCCCUGCUCUCCUGCUCUGAGGAGGGACAGAGCCCAUCAGCAGACAGUCAGCUGCCCAGUGUGGACACCGGCUUCUGCCUCUAAUAGCCUUGGGCUGCCGAGAGC